UCGACGGGCCGUGACUGGCGCGCUGGGAUGGACCAACCAUCGGGGAGCGGCCCCUGGACCCUGUCCAGACCGAGUGCCGUGCGCCUGGGCCGUACCG
rnacentral:ncRNA from 2 species